UGGUCAGUUUAUUAUAUCUCUCUCUGUCUGGUCAGUUUAAUUAUAUCUCUCUCUUUUGUCUGGCAGUUUAUGUUAUAUCUCUCUGCUCUUUGUCUGGGUCAGUUUAUUAUAUCUCCUCUCUCUUUGGUCUGGUCAGUUUAUUAUAUCUCUUCUUCUUUGUGACUGGUCAGUUUAUUAAUAUCUCUUCUCUUUGUCUGGUCAGUUAUUAUAUCUCUCUCUCUUUGGUCGGUCAGUUUAUUAUAUCUCUCCUCUUUGUCUGGUCGUUAUUAUAUCUCUCUCUCUUUGUCUGGUCAGUUUUAUUAUAUCUCUCUCUCUUGUCUGGUAGUUUAUUAUAUCUGUCUCUCUCUUUGUCUGGUCAGUUUAUUAUAUUCUCUCUCUUUGUCUGGUCAGUUUCUUAUAUCUCUCUCUCUUUUGUCUGGUCAGUUAUUAUAUCUCUCUCUCCUUUGUCUGGUCAGUUUAUUAUAUCUUCUCUCUUUGUCUGGUCAGUUUAUUAUAUCUCUCUCUCUUUGUCUGUCAGUUUAUUAAUAUCUCUCUCAUCUUUGUCUGUCAGUAUUAUUAUCUCUCUCUCUUUGUCUGGUCAGUUAUAUAUCUCUUCUCUCUUGUCUGGUCGUUUAUUAUAUUAUCUCUCUCUCUUUGUCUGGUCAGUUUAUUAAAGAUAUCUCUCUCUCUUUGUACUGGUCAAGUUUAUUAUUAAUUCUCUCUCGUUUGUCUGGUCCAGUUUUAUUAUUCUCUCCUGCUUUGUCUAAGUCAGUUAUUAAUUCUGCUCUCUUUGUCUAGUCAGUUUUAUUAUAUCUCUCUGUCUAGUCCAGUUUAUUAUAUCUCUUCCUCUGUCUGGUCAGUUUAUAUAUAUCUCUGUCUGGUCAGUUUAUAUAUCUCUCUCUCUCUUUGUCGGUCAGUUUAUUAUAUCUCUCUCUCUCUUGUCUGGUCAGUUUUAUUAUACUCUCUCUCUCUUUGUCUGGUCAGUUAUUAUUAUCUCUCUCAUCUCUUUGUCCUUGGUCAGUUUAUUUAUCUCUCUCUCCUCUUUGUCUGGUCAGUUUAUUAUCUUUCUCUUUGUCUAGUUUCAGUUUAAUUUAUAUCUCUCUGGUCCUGGUCAGUUUAUUAUAAUUCGUCUCUCUCUCUGUCUAGUCAGUUUAUUAUAUCUCUCUCUCUCUGUCUGGUAGUUUAUUAUAUCUCCUCUCUCUCUGUCUGGUCAGUUUAAAAUAUAACUCUCUCUCUCUUUCUGGGGUUGGUCAGGUUAUUAUAUCCUUCUCUCUCUCUGUUCUUGGUCAGUUUAU
rnacentral:lncRNA from 1 species